AGCAGCUUCAGAAGCUCACAGAAGGCACUCACUUGCCCCAGGGCACACACAAGAUGUAAGCAGAGCAGCUAUCCCAGCCUUCCCAGGAGUAUCCCAUCCCCCCUUACCUCCCAUCUUAGUCCCAGAGCCCCCAGGCGGGUGGGGCUGGGCAGCCUCACUUCUGCUGUGAGCGUCCUCUUCCCACUCCGGGAUCAGGCCACGUGAUGAGGAGGAAACAUGGGCUGAGUGUCUACAAUGCCCAGGCUUUGUGCCAGGUGCUGAUGUCCGUGGCCACAUCUGUCCCCAUUGUAACUCACCAUCAGAGUCUUAGUUGCAGCCAUGGGACAAUUAGUAUGCUCUAGACACUUUUAGAUAUAAUGUCUCCUAAGCCCACCCAACAGGUAUUCAGCUCAUUUUGUGGGAGAGAUGCGGGCAUUGGUCAAGCCAGGAGACACCUCUUCCCCAAGAAAAGGCUCUGGUGCUGACAUCUCUGCUGAGGAAGCAGGAGCCUGGGCCUGGGCCUGGGAAAGGGGGUGCUGUGGGCUUGCCUCUCAGUUUCUGACUCGGGACCCCCUCUGCCCUGGAAAGUUCAGGGGGAUGGGGCAGAGGUGUCUCAUCUCCCUUCCCCCCAGCAAGAGAAGCUAUAACUUUCUUCCUGGAUGUGCUAAAGGGAAGUGGAUCAGGCAGGAAGGCAGUUUAAAAUCCCAGGCUGCCAGCCAGUUUUAAAAGUUGUUUAGCUUUGGCCAGGGUGGGGCAGGAAUUCCAGCCUGCAGGAGUUCCGAGCAGCCACGUGCUGCCAGCUCACAUGGUUAGAGAGCUACAUGAGGCUGGCGUAAGCACAGAGAGCCAGUUGGGGGAACAGUAGUGUCUGGAGGGAAGGGGGAAGAAUCUUCAUCCACUCCAUUGUCUGAAUUGUUCACCCGGUAACUUUUGCCAUGACAAUUUUACAAAUUAAGGUUUUCUUUUAAAAUUGAGGAAUAAUUGACAUUUCAUCAAGGGCACAGAUCUUCAGCAUGGAGCGUAGACCCAAGGGACCACCACAAAGCUCAAGAUGUAGGACAUCUCCAUCAAUUCAGGAGGCUCCCUCCGGGUUACCCCCACUCCAGAGGGUCUCAUUUUGUUGCUGAGGCUGGAGUGCGGUGGCACAAACGUGGCUCACUGCAGGCUUGACGUUCUGGGCUCAAGUGAUCCUCCCAUCUUGGCCUCCCGAGUAGCUGGGACCAC
rnacentral:lncRNA from 1 species